GUGGGGAAUCUUAGACAAUGGGGGAAACCCUGAUCUAGCCAUGCCGCGUGAGCGAUGAAGGCCUUAGGGUUGUAAAGCUCUUUCAGCUGGGAAGAUAAUGACUGUACCAGCAGAAGAAGCCCCGGCUAACUCCGUGCCAGCAGCCGCGGUAAUACGGAGGGGGCUAGCGUUGUUCGGAAUUACUGGGCGUAAAGCGCACGUAGGCGGACCGGAAAGUCAGAGGUGAAAUCUCAGGGCUCAACCGUGGAACUGCCUUUGAAACUCCUGGUCUUGAGGUCGAGAGAGGUGAGUGGAAUUCCGAGUGUAGAGGUGAAAUUCGUAGAUAUUCGGAAGAACACCAGUGGCGAAGGCGACUGACUGGACAAGUAUUGACGCUGAGGUGCGAAAGCGUGGGGAGCAAACAGGAUUAGAUACCCGAGUAGUCC
rnacentral:rRNA from 1 species